rnacentral:tRNA from 1 species
GCUUGAGUAGUUUAAUAAGAAAAUUUUGAUUUGUGGUGUCAAAGAUGUGAAGUUAAAUAUUCAUCUCAGGCC